UGGGGAAUAUUGCACAAUGGGGGAAACCCUGAUGCAGCAACGCCGCGUGGAGGAUGACGCAUUUCGGUGUGUAAACUCCUUUUAUUAAGGAAGAAAUUUGACGGUACUUAAUGAAUAAGCACCGGCUAACUCCGUGCCAGCAGCCGCGGUAAUACGGAGGGUGCAAGCGUUACUCGGAAUUACUGGGCGUAAAGGACGCGUAGGCGGCCAGGCAAGUUAGAUGUGAAAUCCUAUGGCUUAACCAUAGAACUGCAUCUAAAACUGCUUGGCUAGAGUGGGGGAGAGGUCAGUGGAAUUAGUGGUGUAGGGGUAAAAUCCGUAGAGAUCACUAGGAAUACUCAUUGCGAAGGCGACUGACUGGAACUUAACUGACGCUGAGGCGUGAAAGCGUGGGGAGCAAACA
rnacentral:rRNA from 1 species